AUACGGAGGGGGCAAGCGUUGUUCGGAAUUACUGGGCGUAAAGCGCGCGUAGGCGGCUUCUUAAGUUGGGCGUGAAAGCCUGGGGCUCAACCUGGGAAUUGCACUCGAUACUGCAGAGCUAGAGUAUGGUAGAGGGAAGUGGAAUUUCCGGUGUAGCGGUGAAAUGCGUAGAUAUCGGAAGGAACACCAGUGGCGAAGGCGACUUCCUGGGCCAAUACUGACGCUGAGGUGCGAAAGCGUGGGGAGCAAACAGGAUUAGAUACCCGAGUAGUCC
rnacentral:rRNA from 1 species